rnacentral:rRNA from 1 species
UGGGGAAUCUUGGACAAUGGGCGCAAGCCUGAUCCAGCCAUGCCGCGUGGAUGAUGAAGGCCUUAGGGUUGUAAAAUCCUUUCGCCGAGGACGAUAAUGACGGUACUCGGAGAAGAAGCUCCGGCUAACUUCGUGCCAGCAGCCGCGGUAAUACGAAGGGGGCUAGCGUUGUUCGGAUUUACUGGGCGUAAAGAGUCUGUAGGCGGCAAUUCAAGUCAUCUGUGAAAUCUCCGGGCUUAACUCGGAACGGUCAGAUGAUACUGCUUUGCUAGAGUGCAGAAGGGGCAAUCGGAAUUCUUGGUGUAGCGGUGAAAUGCGUAGAUAUCAAGAGGAACACCUGAGGUGAAGACGGGUUGCUGGGCUGACACUGACGCUGAGGCGCGAAAGCCAGGGGAGCAAACGGGAUUAGAUACCCAAGUAGUCCCUGAGCGGGCUGGCAAGGCGCAU